rnacentral:misc_RNA from 1 species
AACGCACAUUGCGCCCAUUAGUAUUCUAGUGGGCAUGCCUGUUCGAGCGUCAUUUCAACCCUUAAGCCUAGCUUAGUGUUGGGAGCCUACUGUAUUGUAGCUCCCUAAAUCCAACGGCGGAUCUGUGGUAUCCUCUGAGCGUAGUAAUUUUUAUCUCGCUUUUGUUAGGUGCUGCAGCUCCCAGCCGCUAAACCCCCCAAUUUUUUAAUGGUUGACCUCGGAUCAGGUAGGAAUACCCGCUGAACUUAA